rnacentral:rRNA from 1 species
CUGAAUAACUACGCUGAUCGCACGGUCUCGCACUGGCGACGUAUCCUUCAAGUGUCUGCCUUAUCAACUGUCGAUGGUAGUUUAUAUGACUACCAUGGUUGUAACGGGUAACGGAGAAUAAGGGUUCGACUCCGGAGAGGGAGCCUGAGAAACGGCUACCACAUCCAAGGAAGGCAGCAGGCGCGCAAAUUACCCACUCUCAGAACGAGGAGGUAGUGACGAAAAAUAACGAGACAGUUCUCUAUGAGGUCUGUCAUCGGAAUGGGUACAAUUUAAACCCUUUAACGAGGAUCUAUUGGAGGGCAAGUCUGGUGCCAGCAGCCGCGGUAAUUCCAGCUCCAAUAGCGUAUAUAAAAGUUGUUGCGGUUAAAAAG